rnacentral:misc_RNA from 1 species
GAACUGCGAUAAUUAAUGUGAAUUGCAGAAUUCAGUGAAUCAUCGAGUCUUUGAACGCACAUUGCGCCCCCUGGUAUUCCGGGGGGCAUGCCUGUCCGAGCGUCAUUGCUGCCCUCAAGCACGGCUUGUGUGUUGGGCUUCCGUCCCUGGCAACGGGGACGGGCCCAAAAGGCAGUGGCGGCACCAUGUCUGGUCCUCGAGCGUAUGGGGCUUUGUCACCCGCUCCCGUAGGUCCAGCUGGCAGCUAGCCUCGCAACCAAUCUUUUUAACCAGGUUGACCUCGGAUCAGGUAGGGAUACCCGCUGCACUUAAGC